UACGUAGGUGGCAAGCGUUGUCCGGAUUUAUUGGGUUUAAAGGGUGCGUAGGCGGUCUUUUAAGUCAGUGGUGAAAGCCUCCAGCUUAACUGGAGAACUGCCAUUGAUACUGGAAGACUUGAGUACAGACGAGGUAGGCGGAAUUGACAGUGUAGCGGUGAAAUGCAUAGAUAUUGUCAAGAACACCGAUUGCGAAGGCAGCUUACUAGACUGUAACUGACGCUGAGGCACGAAAGUGUGGGGAUCAAACAGG
rnacentral:rRNA from 1 species